CUUUUGGGGAGGACGACCACAGAGCUCAGGAAUUUAGGGAUACACAUCACCACCAAAUAAUAGAAUAUAUGCCAAUUUUCCUUUUUGGCUUUGCCUUUCUGCCUGAGUGGCUCACAGUACACAACUGUAGCAAAAUCAG